GUGAGAAAGAUACAAAAGACUUAUAUAUUCCCGGGAUAACGGCCCGGGAGUUUCUACCAGGCUUCCGAAAGCCGGACUAUAAGUUAUUCCCUUUUUAUA
rfam:Anaerostipes sp. CAG:276 genomic scaffold, scf102